AAGGGUUACCCUUGCCUGGGAGGCUCGCCCGCUCCCCGCCCACGUGACGCGCCCGCCCAAUGACCGCAGCCCAGGCUGGGGCUGCAGAGCGACAGGCUCCGGGCGGCGCUGACCCACUCGCGUGUCCCAGCGCGGACGCCCGAGGCCCGCGAAGCCAUGGGCGCCGCGACUCUGGAGCCGCCGCCCCGCCACAGGAUGAGCACUCUAACACCCAGAGAGGCCUAAUGGACAAGCUCCCCAGCAGAUGGUAACAAAAAAUAAUCCAGAUGGGGUGCAGGUGUUGUAAGAUGAUACAAAGCUAUCUCUUUGAUCCAGUUCAAGUGCCCUCCCCUGGUUUUGUCAAUGAAGUAAACAACUACAAGUUGG